rnacentral:rRNA from 1 species
AGCAGCCGCGGUAAUUCCAGCUCCAAUAGCGUAUAUUAAAGUUGUUGCAGUUAAAAAGCUCGUAGUUGAAUUUCGGGGUUAGUAGGUUGGUCAUGCCUCUGGUAUGUACUGGUCUCACUGAUUCCUCCUUCCUGAUGAACCGUAAUGCCAUUAAUUUGGUGUUGCGGGGAAUUUGGACUGUUACUUUGAAAAAAUUAGAGUGUUUAAAGCAAGCUAACGCUUGAAUACAUUAGCAUGGAAUAAUGAAAUAGGACGUUCGAUCCUAUUUUGUUGGUUUCUAGGAUUGACGUAAUGAUUAAUAGGGAUAGUUGGGGGCAUUAGUAUUCAAUUGUCAGAGGUGAAAUUCUUGGAUUUAUUGAAGACUAACUACUGCGAAAGCAUUUGCCAAGGAUGUUUUCAUUAAUCAAGAACGAAAGUUAGGGAAUCGAAGACGAUCAGAUACCGUCGUAGUCUUAACCAUAAACUAUGCCGACUAGGGAUCGGAUGAUGUUAAUUUUUUAAUGACUCA